GACGGACGCUGGCGGCGUGCCUAAUACAUGCAAGUUGAGCGCUGAAGGUUGGUACUUGUACCAACUGGAUGAGCAGCGAACGGGUGAGUAACGCGUGGGGAAUCUGCCUUUGAGCGGGGGACAACAUUUGGAAACGAAUGCUAAUACCGCAUAAAAACUUUAAACACAAGUUUUAAGUUUGAAAGAUGCAAUUGCAUCACUCAAAGAUGAUCCCGCGUUGUAUUAGCUAGUUGGUGAGGUAAGGGCUCACCAAGGCGAUGAUACAUAGCCGACCUGAGAGGGUGGACGGCCACAUUGGGAACGAGAACACGCCCAAAACCCUACGGGAGGCAGCAGGAGGGAAUCUUCGGCAAUGGACGAAAGGCUUACCGAGCAAAGCCGCGGGAGUGGAGAAGGGUUUCGGAUCGUAAAACUCUGUUGGUAGAGAAGAACGUUGGUGAGAGUGGAAAGCUCAUCAAGUGACGGUAACUACCCAGAAAGGGACGGCUAACUACGUG
rnacentral:rRNA from 1 species